GAGCUCGUAGGUGGUUUGUCGCGUUGUUCGUGAAAUCUCACGGCUUAACUGUGAGCGUGCGGGCGAUACGGGCAGACUUGAGUACUGCAGGGGAGACUGGAAUUCCUGGUGUAGUGGUGGAAUGCGCAGAUAUCAGGAGGAACACCGGUGGCGAAGGCGGGUCUCUGGGCAGUAACUGACGCUGAGGAGCGAAAGCGUGGGGAGCGAACAGGAUUAGAUACCCUGGUAGUCCACGCCGUAAACGGUGGGUACUAGGUGUGGGUUUCCUUCCUUGGGAUCCGUGCCGUAGCUAACGCAUUAAGUACCCCGCCUGGGGAGUACGGCCGCAAGGCUAAAACUCAAAGAAAUUGACGGGGGCCCGCACAAGCGGCGGAGCAUGUGGAUUAAUUCGAUGCAACGCGAAGAACCUUACCUGGGUUUGACAUGCACAGGACGCCGGCAGAGAUGUCGGUUCCCUUGUGGCCUGUGUGCAGGUGGUGCAUGGCUGUCGUCAGCUCGUGUCGUGAGAUGUUGGGUUAAGUCCCGCAACGAGCGCAACCCUUGUCUCAUGUUGCCAGCGGGUAAUGCCGGGGACUCGUGAGAGACUGCCGGGGUCAACUCGGAGGAAGGUGGGGAUGACGUCAAGUCAUCAUGCCCCUUAUGUCCAGGGCUUCACACAUGCUACAAUGGCCGGUACAAAGGGCUGCGAUGCCGCGAGGUUAAGCGAAUCCUUUUAAAGCCGGUCUCAGUUCGGAUCGGGGUCUGCAACUCGACCCCGUGAAGUCGGAGUCGCUAGUA
rnacentral:rRNA from 1 species